UGGGCUUCAUCACCAGGCAAGCAAGCCACACAAAUCAGUUUCUACACUAGCAAAAGAUGUAUCUUGCGUCUAUUACUACCCAGAAACCAGCAUAAAAGAGAGGUACACAAAUCUACAGAAAAGGAAAUGAUCAACGAGGGCGGCAAGAAGAAUCCCAAUUGUUAAAUGACAUACUGUCUCUUUGGUUUUUCUCAUCAUUCCUUACACGAACACCAACCAUAGAACCAACCUAUGUCAUGACCUGAUAGGGAAAUAAACCUCUGGCCUCAAACCAGUCUAAACUUGCGAGAUCCUCUACACCCUUAGCCAAAUUCAAGAACCCAACAGACCCAU
rnacentral:lncRNA from 1 species